ACAAAAAUAUAUUAUCAUUUUUAUUAUGAAAUAUUAAAAUAAGCAUUAAUUAAUUUGAGACACCUAUGAUAAUAAUUGUAUUUUAUGUUAAUUUUAAUCUUUAAGGAUAAAUCUAAACCGGCUAUACUAUUUUAAUUUUCAUAUAGUUAUAUUCAUAUGAAUGUAUAUUAUUUCAUAAAAUAUAGAUUUAUCAAUUAGCACAAAACAUAUUUACAAUAAUUUUAUACAAGUGAAAAUCGCAAAAAAAAAUAUUUUUCAUUUAUGAUUUUGUGUUGUAAUACAGGUCAACACCUAUGAUAAAUUAAAAUAUAUAUUUUUAGUACGAAUUAGAUUGUUUUCAUAAGAUUAAAAAUAUAUCUUACCUAAAAUCAUGAACAAAAGUUUAAUAAUAAAAUUUGUAAAAUACAAAAAUUAGAAACAUAAUUAAUAUAAAUGGUUAUUAAAUAAAAACUAUCAACAAAAAUAAUUUCGCAAUUUGAAAGCGCAGAGGAAAAUCUAUCAAAGAAUUUUAAAUGGAAAGAACAUGUUGACAAGAGUUGAACAAAAAAAAAAAAAAAAAAGAACAUGUUGACAAGAUAAUAAAACACAGAAGGAUAAACAUGUCAUGCAUGGCUAGAAGGAAAAAAAAAUCUUAAUUAAUCAGCCACCAGCACUAUAAAGGCUAUCUUCUUUCUCCAAAUUCACCUCGUUGAUACCAAAUCCUUUUCCUUGUUCGUUUCAGCUUCCUUCCUCUUCUACAUGUUCCUUGUCAUCUACAAUAAUUCCUAUUAAAAUAGAAAAAAAUGCAGCGAUCAAGAAACAUCAAGAUCUGUGGGAACGACAGAAUUAUCUCUUGUCGUCUUUCAAUUUCCAAUCUGAAAGUUUUAUUCGUUUUUGAAUCCUCGUUAUUAUAUAAUUCGAUCACGUGUUCUUACGAUAAGCUGGUCUUAUAAGCUUUUGCUGCUCCUCCUUCUCCGACCUCUGCAGAUUUUCCAAUUUCCUCUUUAAUCUCUCCUCUGUUUCUUUUCUUUUCUGCAAUAUUCAAUGGAUAAUAACAUUUCUGUUCCGCAUGAUCUUCCUGAAGGCACAAUCUCUGCGCUUCUCCAGAAGCAGAACAAUGUGGUGCAGCCUUCUAUCAUCAUCGUAAUUGGUAAUUGUAUAUCAGGUCUAGCUGCUGCUAGGGACCUCUUUGGAGCAUCUUUUAAGGUGACUGUUCUUGAAUCACGUGAUAGGAUUGGUGGUCAUCCACACUGAUUACUCCUUUGCCUGUCACGUUGACAUGGGAGCUUCAUGGUUACAUGGAGUCUCCAACGACAACCCAUUAGCUCCAAUUAUACGCCGUCUAGGCCUCAGUUUAUACCAUACUAGUGGUGAUGACUCCUUCUUGUAUGAUCAUGAUCUCCAAAGUUAUGUAACUUUAUGACAUGCAUGGGAACAAAAUUUCACCGCACUUGGUUACUCAAGUUGGAGAUGCAUUCAAGAGAAUUCUAGAUGAAACUGAAAAAAUAAGGGAUGAAACCGCCAGUGAUAUGUCAGUUCUUCAAGGAAUAUCCAUCGUCUUGGAAAGAAAUCCAGAACUAAGGCAAGAAGGAAUGGCGUACCAAGUUUUGCAGUGGUAUAUAUGUCGGAUGGAGGCGUGGUUUUCUGUAGAUGCGAACCUGAUAUCACUCAAAUGUUGGGAUCAGGAUGAAGUAAGAACAACAUUUACAUGUUUUUUCGCUGGUAAAUUUCAUUAAACCAAAGAAGAUACAUGGAUGAAAUAAUUGAAAAAAAAUUAAGCCGGCAAACAAAUUUUCCCGGAGGGUACAAGUGAAACAUAAAUUAAAUACAAACAACAAACCAAAGGUUGAAACCAAAACUUGGGCAAAAAACACCUAAAUCCUUGAAGAAAGGAGUAAAAUCCCAGGGAAACCAAGCAUAGUUGCAUUUUACUUGUUAUGAUAUUGUUUUCGUUAAUAAAUUUGACUUCUCUUAAGUAAAAUGUUAAAACCUUAUAUACAGUUAUUGUUAGACAAACUAAGUUAUUUUAAAAAUGUUGAUGUUUAUUACUUUCACCGGAUUUUUUGAGGGGUUGCAAUUUCAGUUUAUUAGAAGUAAGGUUUGUGUUUUUCACAUCAAAAGCUCCAUAACUUAUUAAAGUUAUCCAAGAAGUUGAUCUCAGGAACCAUCCAGUUGGAAAUCCGAGUAUUUACAUGGAGCAAGGAAGAAUUACGAGACCGAGCUCCUUUUUGCAAUGCUAUCAAUUUGAAUAUUCAAAGAAAGACAAAUAAAGGAUAUGAAGUAAGAAUUAAAAGAACUGGUAAGGAGAUGAUAAUCAUCAGUUUCGGCUAAUAAAGAUGGACAGUCGGCUUCCUCUUCUUAUAAGAUUUUGACUAGUUUCAUACAAUCUUUUUCAAAGGUCACUGAUAGUUGGUCUAGUUGAACUGAAGAUUUCAUGCCCCACGUUAGAGUAUGCAAAUGAAUCAAAAGUCGUUGUACCAUUCCACCCCCCCCCCCCCCCAAAAAAAAAAAAAAUUAAGCGUCGUCUUUGUGCCUCGAAACAUCUAUUUGGAGUAUCUUCCUCUUUUGGAGUCUCGUUCAUCUCAUGUGC